rnacentral:misc_RNA from 1 species
GUGAAGAACGCAGCGAAAUGCGAUACGUAAUGUGAAUUGCAGAAUUCAGUGAAUCAUCGAGUCUUUGAACGCACAUUGCGCCCCCUGGUAUUCCGGGGGGCAUGCCUGUCCGAGCGUCAUUGCUGCCCUCAAGCACGGCUUGUGUGUUGGGCCUCCGUCCUCCUCCCGGGGGACGGGCCCGAAAGGCAGCGGCGGCACCGCGUCCGGUCCUCGAGCGUAUGGGGCUUCGUCACCCGCUCUUGUAGGCCCGGCCGGCGCUUGCCGACACAUCAAUCUUUUUUCCAGGUUGACCUCGGAUCAGGUAGGGAUACCCGCUGAACUUAAGCAUAUCAAAGCGGAGGA